rnacentral:lncRNA from 1 species
AGGCGCCUACAGGGCAGCGCCAGCCGGCGGGCGGCUCUGAAUCUGGACCUGGGCCUGGGCCUCAGCGCGGGCGGAGGCGAAGGCCUGUUUGAGGGAGUGGUCGCCGGGGAAAUUGGCAUCUCGUUGCAAAAAAGUAUCCAAGGAGCGCGGGAGAGCUCGGCGUAGAGUGGGCGUCCAGUCACUUGUCCCUGUGAUGAGGUUCACAGCAGAGCUGGAAUUUGAACUCUCU